AGGUUUUAUUUUGGCCUACAAAUUUAGUUUAAUUUGAAUUUACAUGUAAAGUUAACUUAAAUUAGAGGUGGUUUUUAUUAAACUAUAAUUUUUUGGUUCGCAGUUAGUAAUUUUAAAUAUUAAUGAAAGUUAGAUUUAGUUAUAAUUAGGAGUGUUGACUUAACUUGUGCCAGCAGUCGCGGUUAUACAGGUAUUACAAUUAAAUUUUUUUUUGGUUUUAGUAAUUUUUAAUUAAUGAUUUUAAUUUAAAUUUAUUAGGUGAAAUUUUAAAUUUAAAUUUUUCAAUUAUAAAGAAUCUGUGAAAUUUUUUUUAAAACUAGGAUUAGAUACCCUAUUAUAUGAAUGUAAAAUUUUAGCUUGAUUAGUAUAAGAUAUGUUCUUUAAAAUUAAAAAAUUUGGCGGUAUUUUAGUCUAUUUAGAGGAACCUGUCCUGUAAUUGAUAAUCCACGAUUUUAAGUAUUUUGUGUUUUAGUUUUCAUAUCGUCGUGAUUGAAUAUUUCUGGAGAAUUAUAAUGUUCAAAAUUUAUUUUAUAAAAGAUGUCAGAUCAAGGUGUAGCUUAUAAUUAAAUAGAGAUGGGUUACGUUAAAAUUAAAGGGAGACUAGUUCGUUUAGUGACUAGUGUUUAGGAUUUAAUAGUAAAUUAAAUUAAAUUAUUUAAUUGAUUUUAGCUCUAAAAUAUGUACAUAUCGCCCGUCGCUUUUACUUUAAAGUAAAAUAAGUCGUAACAAAGUAGACCUACUGGAAGGUGGGCCUAGAAAG
rnacentral:ncRNA from 1 species